AGAGUUUGAUCCUGGCUCAGGACGAACGCUGGCGGCGUGCUUAACACAUGCAAGUCGAACGGAGUCCAACUGAUCGCAAGUGAUGUGAAGACUUAGUGGCGAACGGGUGCGUAACACGUGAGAAACCUGCCCCGGUCUCUGGGAUAACAGUCGGAAACGACUGCUAAUACUGGAUGCCGCCGGCGGACCGCAUGGUCUGCCGUCGAAAGAUUUAUCGGAUCGGGAGGGUCUCGCGGCCUAUCAGCUAGUUGGUGAGGUAAUGGCUCACCAAGGCAUCGACGGGUAGCUGGUCUGAGAGGAUGAUCAGCCACACUGGGACUGAGACACGGCCCAGACUCCUACGGGAGGCAGCAGUGGGGAAUCUUGCACAAUGGGCGAAAGCCUGAUGCAGCAACGCCGCGUGCGGGAUGAAGGCCCUAGGGUUGUAAACCGCUUUCAGCAGGGAAGAAAUUGACGGUACCUGCAGAAGAAGGUGCGGCCAACUACGUGCCAGCAGCCGCGGUGACACGUAGGCACCAAGCGUUGUCCGGAUUU
rnacentral:rRNA from 1 species